UGGGGGAUAUUGCACAAUGGGGGAAACCCUGAUGCAGCGACGCCGCGUGAGUGAAGAAGUAUUUCGGUAUGUAAAGCUCUAUCAGCAGGAAAGAUAAUGACGGUACCUGACUAAGAAGCACCGGCUAACUACGUGCCAGCAGCCGCGGUAAUACGUAGGUGGCAAGCGUUAUCCGGAUUUACUGGGUGUAAAGGGCGCGUAGGCGGGGAUGCAAGUCAGAUGUGAAAUCUAUGGGCUCAACCCAUAAACUGCAUUUGAAACUGUAUCUCUUGAGUGUCGGAGAGGUAGAUGGAAUUCCUAGUGUAGCGGUGAAAUGCGUAGAUAUUAGGAGGAACACCAGUGGCGAAGGCGAUCUACUGGACGAUAACUGACGCUGAGGCGCGAAAGCGUG
rnacentral:rRNA from 1 species